UGUAUCAGGUCUGUGUUCAUCAAGACAUGAAGACUCUGGAGUGGGACAAGAGAAGGAUGAUGGGGUGUUAUUCCAAUAGACACAUUAAGGUAAAGAGGUGGGACAAGGAUGCUGACAGGACAGGAGGAGGUGACAUUCAGACAUUCAGCGCAGACAUUUUCAUCCAAAGCAACUUGAGGAAGAAAACAAGAAGCAGUUCAUCCUAAAAGUGGGCUGUUGUAAUGUUUACAUCUAUGGAAAGAGGAGCUGAGAAGAAAAGAGAGGCUGGAAAGC